AAAAAAGGUAAGCUACUAAGAGCGAAUGGUGGAUGCCUUGACUGGUAAAGGCGAUGAAGGACGUACUAGACUGCGAUAAGCUACGGGGAGCUGUCAAGAAGCUUUGAUCCGUAGAUUUCCGAAUGGGGCAACCCAAUGUAUAGAGAUAUACAUUACCUAUAUAGGAGCGAACGAGGGGAAUUGAAACAUCUUAGUACCCUCAGGAAAAGAAAUCAAUAGAGAUUGCGUCAGUAGCGGCGAGCGAAAGCGCAAGAGGGCAAACCCAGUGCUUGCACUGGGGGUUGUAGGACUGCAAUGUGCAAGAGGUGAGUUUAGCAGAACAUUCUGGAAAGUAUAGCCAUAGAGGGUGAUAGUCCCGUAUGCGAAAAACAAACCUUAGCUAGCAGUAUCCUGAGUAGGGCGGGACACGAGGAAUCCUGUCUGAAUCCGGGUCGACCACGAUCCAACCCUAAAUACUAAUACCAGAUCGAUAGUGUACAAGUACCGUGAGGGAAAGGUGAAAAGAACUGAGGUGAUCAGAGUGAAAUAGAACCUGAAACCAUUUGCUUACAAUCAUUCAGAGCCCUAUGUAGCAAUACAGGGUGAUGGACUGCCUUUUGCAUAAUGAGCCUGCGAGUUGUGGUGUCUGGCAAGGUUAAGCAAACGCGAAGCCGUAGCGAAAGCGAGUCUGAAUAGGGCGCUUAGUCAGAUGCUGCAGACCCGAAACGAAGUGAUCUAUCCAUGAGCAAGUUGAAGCUAGUGUAAGAACUAGUGGAGGACUGAACCCAUAGGCGUUGAAAAGCCCCGGGAUGACUUGUGGAUAGGGGUGAAAGGCCAAUCAAACUUCGUGAUAGCUGGUUCUCUCCGAAAUAUAUUUAGGUAUAGCGUUGUGUCGUAAUAUAAGGGGGUAGAGCACUGAAUGGGCUAGGGCAUACACCAAUGUACCAAACCCUAUCAAACUCCGAAUACCUUAUAUGUAAUCACAGCAGUCAGGCGGCGAGUGAUAAAAUCCGUCGUCAAGAGGGAAACAACCCAGACUACCAGCUAAGGUCCCUAAAUCUUACUUAAGUGGAAAACGAUGUGAAGUUACUUAAACAACCAGGAGGUUGGCUUAGAAGCAGCCAUCCUUUAAAGAAAGCGUAAUAGCUCACUGGUCUAGUGAUUUUGCGCGGAAAAUAUAACGGGGCUAAAGUAAGUACCGAAGCUGUAGACUUGCGCACAACUUAGAUUAUUUAAGUUUAGAAUAUGAGAAACUAAGUUAUAUGUUUAGUUAUAUUUUUACUGAUUUUUAUAGAGUAAAGAUAGAAAUAAAACUUAGUAAAAUCAGUAAAAAUAUUCUUAGACUAAAGUUAAGUAGUUUAAGUUGUGUGCAAGUGGUAGGAGAGCGUUCUAUUUGCGUCGAAGGUAUACCGGUAAGGAGUGCUGGAGCGAAUAGAAGUGAGCAUGCAGGCAUGAGUAGCGAUAAUUAAUGUGAGAAUCAUUAACGCCGUAAACCCAAGGUUUCCUACGCGAUGCUCGUCAUCG
rnacentral:rRNA from 1 species